rnacentral:lncRNA from 1 species
GUGUUUGAGAGUUGCUAAGUAGAGGAAGGGAAGAAGAACUCCAAUUAUUUGGUUCUUUUUGUCUUGGAUAAGGAAAUUUAUCUUCAAGGACUGAGGUUAGAGAGAGCUAUGGAUGAGGACAAAGAAAUGGAUCACUGGUCACAAAGUCAACAGGUUGGACCACAUAUGGUAGCUUUUAGAGUGUGGACACCUUUUCCCUUGAGCAGCCUUUGUCCAAUAAAAUGCUAAGUAGAUAGGAAAAGGAAGCCACGGAUAUGUACUCUUUGAUAUUAGAUAUGAAUAUGGUAGCUUAUUAAGACAGGAAUUUUUUCAAUCAUUUCAUGAAUCAGAAAUGCAAUCUGCUCUCACUAACAUUAGUUGGAGGUAGCUAAAUAGAUGCCUAUACGCACCACGCAUGCAUUGGUGUUAAUGGUAGCAUAAACUUAGAAAAUUUGAGGACUGUUUUUCGAGAAUCUAAUAAAAUCUAACAAGUGCUUUUCUUCACGAAACACCUCAUGAGCUGAUUCACGAAUUCUAGAUAGAAUUACAUGGCUCUCAACUUCAUGAAAUUGUAAAAUCUAUGUGUGCGCGUCUAGCGAGGGGGUGCAAAUGGGUCGGGUCGAUAGAGUCAUGAGUGACCCCCGGCCCGACUUGGUUCCUUGUUUGGAUUCCAAAGUGGGACCCAAAUCCAACUCAAUAAAAAAUAUGGUCAAUGGAGUUGGGUCCACAACUAAAAUUUUUGACCUAAUGGAGCAUUCGAAUUGGGUAGGGUUGAUAAAUAAUACGAUCCUAACCCAAAAAGUCCGGAUCCGGAUUGGGUUAGGGUCACAUAUGGAGUUCUAAAGUAAAAGAGAUAAAUUUGGACAAGAAAAAAAUCUAGCUCCAUUGUAAGACAUAAUUAUCUCUGUGGAAGCAUGUAUAACAUAUUCCGCAUGAUAAGCUUUUCCAACAAAGCUCGGAAAAUAAUUAAAAAGAGUUCUACAAGUCGAGCAUUUCCUAUGAAUUAUACGAAUUAUCAUGUUUAAAGAUAUAUAAUAGACUGAAAUAGAGCAUGGAUAGAAUGCCAAGUCAGUGAUGGUAUCAAUCUAUAAUCUAAAAGUCAAACUUCUUAUAUCACUUAGCUAUCUAGUUUGCCAUAAUAUCCCAUAUAUCAUGUGAAAAAAAUCAGAUAAAAAAACUUGGAUUGGUGGGAUGAGGACACCAUUUAUUUCAAACUUAAUUAAUUGAUGAUGGAUGCCACUAUUAAAUGAUUCUAUAAAUUCUGGCACACAAUUCUAAUGCUUUCAAGUUCUAUGCUUUUUUUUUCUAUUGUAUUGCGCAUAGCUGAAGUUUAUAAAUGUAGUUUACAGAUUUUCUAUAUACCAAGACCUAACAUGAGUUAAACCAUCAAUUAAAAUAAACUUGAAUAACCUAUUCUAUGAUUAGUGCUUUAUAAAUCAUGGAGUAAAACAAUGAACAAGGUCAAGAAAUCUAAAAACAAAAGUAAUUAAAGGUUCCUUCAUUUAAGGUUUUUAUUUUUUAACCUGCUUUUCCUGUUAAACAAUUUCAUAAUUAAAGCCUGUUCAAUUAUAUGCUAAUACAAAAACCACAUAACUUUUAUUAGAUUGGGUUAGGUCGGGUGAUAGGCCAGAAGGCCUAAAGCAGACCCAUAUAACAAUUAGGGUGGAUCAGGUCGGGUUAGAUCAGAUUCGAACUCAAUAAAUACAUCAUGACUUGAAAUAUGGAAUAGGUCCAAAUUUGGAAUCCGACCCGGCCUCACGGAUCUCUAAAUCGGGUCUAAAUCGGGUCUAAGUGGGUCGGAUUGGAUUAGCUCAUGGAUGAACUCGACUCAUUUGCAACCUUAUGUCUAGUAAAAGUCAAAUAAGAGAACUCUAAUAGAUUUCAAGAUAGAAUUGUACAUUUGAUCUAGGUGGACAUCUAAAUAAGAUUCAAACCAAACCCAAUUUUAGUUUGCAUUCUUAAUUGCAGUUCAGAAGCUCUUUUCAUAAAAUUUUAGAAUUAUUAUUUUUAUUAAAUUUUUAUUUUUUAUAGAGAAAAAUGGGGUACUAGCAAUGGAGUCAGUAAAGUUCAAAGUAUAGUAAUUUCGUCAACAAUGUGGAGAAUCAUACAAAAACACAAAAUCAGAUAGACGAAGCUCGACGCCAUCUACCCUUCAGUGUCAUAUGACCGCAUGUGAUUUGUAAAUAAGCUGAUGUGGCAAAUAAAUUUCGCACGAUUUCUCCAUAUUAUUGAUCAAAUUACCAUAUUAUUAAACUUUUGUACCAAAAGUUCAUGGUACAAAAAUGUAUCCUUCCCUUUUGUAACAAUUUUAUGAUAGUGGACCUUACAUUAGUUUAACAAUUAUCAUAUUCCAUAUUUGCAAUCUCAUCUGUUUUUUUUAAUGAAACAAAAACUAUAUAUAUAUUUGAGAAUAAUGAUGACAAGGUGAUCUUUUUGAUUUUAAAAUUGAGACCCCGCCUAAGUGGAAAUGCGCGCGGAUGAGAGAAAAAAUUCCUCAGCAACAUGCUAAAGUUCCACUGGUACUAGGCAGCAAUUAGGUUUAAUCCCCCCUUUGAGAACCAAAUAACUAAUGGCAAUCAGCGACCAUGAUGCUUGAACAAAUUCUAGCUUGGAUUUAAUAAUUUAUUUUAAAAUUUUAAGAAUAAUUUUUUUAAUAACUUGAUAUGGUCUUAGUGGUUCUUGUUUUGGAAUCCAAGCUUAAUCCUUCUAGGUUACUAGGCUUUACAUACACUCCCACAGCCCUGCUCCCAGAGACAGGUAAAGACUAAAGAGGGCCUUCCUCUUGCCAUAUAUAUAUAUGAAAAAAAAAGGACUUCCAACUGUGCUUUAGGACAGGCCGGCUUUAAACACAUUGAAAAUUGAUAACAAAUUAAAAAAGCCAUUAUAGAAAGGAAAAAGGAGCAAAGCAGCAAGAUUCCCUAUAACUCUCCUGCCUAAAACCCAGCAAGCUCAUGAUUACACCCCAUCAAUAAAAUAAGGUUCAGCAAAACCAAGCCACUUCAUUGAAACAAGAUGUAAAACUAGGAGUUGUCGCUUAAAAAUACACAGUUUAACUGGUUAUAUGCCCGUGCUAAUCCAAAAUCCAGACUGGUCUCUCAAUGAUCGUUGAGCCAUCGACAUCUCAUCUAUAUUUGGUAAUUAUAGCCCCUACUAUCAGACACAAGAACCAAAUGUACCCUACAUCAACCCAUUUCAAGUCCAUAAAAUUUAAACAUUAUGUUCGGUUAGUUGAAUGACCUAAUGAGAAGGCUUCUCUAAAGGACUAAUAGAAAUGAGGCCAUUCAUAAAAUUAAAAAAAGGUUAAUGAUUCUAAUCAAUUUAUAACUAUACACCAGUGUUUAACUUCACAUCUAAAAGUCCCUUGCAAGCGUAGUCCUCGAUGCAAUUCUAGGUUGUCGCUAGGACUUCCAAUUAAGAUUUUCGGGUGCAGAUUUAGAUUGACAGUAAUUUGAAGGAUUUGUAUUUCCUUCAUUCUUUUUUUUAAAAAAAAAUCUAGAUUGGAGGAAGAUUAGCCAAAAUCAGGAUGAGGGCACAAUCAAACCUAGGUUAUCAGUAUUGAAUAUCCAAUUAUUUUCUAAUUCAACCGGCGUGCUCGAUAACUUAUAGAACCGAAAUCUGAAUAUAUAACUAAUUUAUAUUAGAUCUAGAUCUUUUCACAUUUAACUAGGUUAAGUCCAAUUAUGCAUUUUUUUUCUACUUUGAUUGAUGUUAAGAUCAACUUUGAGCUCAAGUCAAAACCAAAUUUAGGUUAUACAUGAUAUUCUCAUCUUACAUUAUUCCUCGCCACAGGACAUCAUCAUUUAUAUUAUUUUUAUUUUUUAUAAAGUAAAAAUUUCUUAUCCAAAAGUUUCUUGGAAAGCUGUAACCAAAAAAAUAUAAAAAUAACUCAUGAUAUAAGUAGAUCUAUAUGCAUAAAUUUAAUUUUGCUAUCCCAUUGUUUCUAUUCCCAAACCUAGGGCAGUGCUUCCAUCCACAGGUGACGGUGUACAUUGGCAUCAAUUCCCUGGAUGUUGAAGUGGGAGGUCAUGGUGGCACGAGAAGCAAGAGAAGACAAAACCGUCCCUUUUUUUUUUUUUAGUGCUCUAUUUGGUCGCAAAACCAAGACAAAUGAAUGAUGAUGUCCACGUACUUUCGCUUCCUUGGAUUGAAAGGAAAGCCUCCACAAAGACAGCCAAGAAGCCAUUCAUAAAACAUUAUCCGCUUCUUAUGUCAGACAAAAGACAGGAAGAGCUCCAACCAGGGGGAUUUUGAAAAAUGAUUCAAAGAGAGAGAACAAAAGGAGAAUGAAUGGAAAAAAGAAAAAGAUUAGGAACCCCUUUCAAGGGACAGCAAUUAUACCUAUCCGAGUUUCUUUAGUUAUUUGAGUUCAUGGUGGGAAGCCUCUUUCUCCGAGACAACUUCUGAACAUGGUUUCAUUUUUGACGUGCCAAGAGAGUUGUAGAUCAUUCAAUUGCUCUUGCACUGCACCAAAUUUGAAGGGCUAGUUCUUGCACACAAAUCGUUUGGUAGAUUAUGUCAUAAUAGCAAGCUUUUUCUCUAGGUCAUAUCGCAUCAUCUUUUACAUUGGAUUUUAAUGAUCUCCUUGAUUAUAUUAUUCUCUUUGGUGAAAGGUUUUGUAGAGUAAAAAUUUGUAAAGAAGUUGAACAGGUAAUUUGAUCAAGGUAUAUAGAGCAAUAUGAUAUACAAUAAGAAGUAGAAAUCCAUGUGUAGAUUUUCUAAUCAAGACUUAAGAUGUUUCUCUUUAGCUCUCUUCUUGCGCUUCAAAUGCCAAAACGGCAACUUCAGCCAAAGCGGUCCAUGUCGGACGUCAUUGGGUACAAGGAUCCUACUAUCCAAUUUAAAGUCUACAAAGACAAAUGCUAAAGGUUCCCUUCUACUUCUUCUUCUUUUGUUUUUCCAUUUCAGUUUAUGUUUGUAAACCACCAAGUAUUAUGGUUCCCCAAUAAUUCCUUUAUCGCCGUCAACUUUGGGUCUAUUAUGAAAUACUCAAAAUAUUAUGUCACCCUUAUGAAUUAGACAUGCAUCCACCUUUACAUCUUCAUCACUACUACGCUCGUCGUGCCUUUGUGCAUUGACCAUUGACAUUUUGAUCCAUGCAAUGGAGUCAAUCUCACAACAUGUUACAUGAUGUAUGAAGCUAUUAGCCUCUUGGGAAUAGUCAACAUGAGUAUGUUGCUGCCCUAAAUUGAUGCUAGAAGACAUUAUGCUCCAUUCUCAGACUUUUUGGGCAGGGAUCGAUGGAUUAAAUAUACAAGGCAGUGAUGUGUGAAAGUUUGUCAUAAUCUUAUUGACGUAACUUAAUUCACUCAUGAGAGGAGGGAACCUCAUCUUCAAACAAUUAAUUUAUACAUUAUAAAAAAAUAUGGCUAAUGAUUCAAGGAAAUAUGAUUGUCCAUUCCAUGUUACAUUUAAUUGUUCGCUACAUCAUUUAAGAUUAGCGUUACCAUCAAACUUCAUGGCGUAUUUAAUUUUAGACUAGACUUCGUAAGAAGCCCUUUCACCAUUAUGGGACCUUGGACUUAGCUUUCUGUAUCUUGUCAACCACCUUCAUUUGGCUUCCACAAAAUCUUAUUUAGUCCUCUUCUUAUUUUCAAGCAAUAUAGCAUCUUUAUUUUUUUUUGAUGUAAAUAUGUACCACCUUAUCUUUUUGGAUGAAGAUAUAUGCCACCUUAAUUAAUUACCCAUCAAUUCCAUUUCAAACAGAUGUUAAGGCUCAAAUCUAACAUAACUUGCACUUUCCUAAAUAUAUAGUUUUGUCCCUAACAUUUUCUAAAUUAGACUUUGGUUUUGCUCAUAUUAUGUGAGUUCACCAUCUGUAUGUUUGAACAUUAAACUCUAUAGAAAUAAUGCUGAAAAUUAGUUGUUUCGCAAUCCAUUUCUAAAAUUCAAAUCAUAUCAUAUGCUAUGCUUUACUCCACUUCAUCCCCGCCUUAGUUUAUACAAGUAAAUUUCUAUUCUCGAACUCUAAAAUCCAUGAGAUAAUGUUGAAAUAAGUUGUUUCCUGAUCAAAAUCUAAAUUACAAACUCAGAUUAGAAUGUGUCAAUCGUUUCAUGUACAUGCAUUACUACACUCUGUUCCCAUGCUUCAAUUAUACUAUUAAAAUUCUUAUUUGUUUUGGAGUUCUUCUAAACAAAAAGGGUACACAAAAGACAAUUUAACAAAAAAAAUAAUGUAGAUAUCUUAUUCGGAUUAUAUGUAAUGUCUUUAGCACAGCAAUAUCCAUCACAAUUCAACUAUCCUUUCGUGAAUUACAUUUCAGCAUGACCAUGUUCAGAUCUCUGUCCUCUAUUUUCCGUUAGAAUUCGAGCUUAAGAUCCAAUCGGUGGUCCCAUAAGCUGCAGGAGGUGCAUGGUGACUUUGAAAUGGCCAUUGGUAGCCUAGGGAGACAUGCAGAACUUUAACUCUAGGUGCAGAAUACACCCAAAAAACUUGGUGGAUGGUCCUUGGCGGGACCUCCAUUUGUAAAUUAGACCCAUAUCAUUCUUCUUUGCAAUAUUAUUAAAAUGGUCAGCAAAAUUGAGAACCAGGUAUUGGUUAUUCUACAUAUUAUAUUAUGACAACAUAAACUAAUGCUUAACAUGGGAAAAGGAGCAAAAGAAUGCCGAAGCAUGGGCAGGAUUUAUGAGAGCCAAGAAGGGAUUAAGGGGGCAAAAGAAUGUCUCGAGAGCUGCUGGUGGGUUUGAUGAUUGAGCUGAUGCACGCUCUCCUGCUUUUCUGACGUCCCCCCUCCCCUUGGCACGCCUAAUAUUCCCCCUCUCUCUCUCUCUCUCUCUCUCUCUCUUUCUCUGACAUGCAUAUGAGAUUGAGAGAGAUAGAGAGAGAUGAGAGAGAGAGAGAGAGAGUGAGAGAGAGUUCCUUCAUCUCAGAAAAACAAGGCAUACCUAUCUUCCUAUCUUGCAAGGAGCCCGGCCAUCUGCUGCCCAUCCAAGGUUGUUCUUUUUAUUAUACAUUUAUAUAACAAGGGAAGGCCCACAUCAGUCACUUCAUUGGCAAAUUAGCAUAAAAGAGAGGCAAGGCAAAGCAAAGCAAAGCAAAGCACAGAAAAAAGGGAUCUCCAUUCCCCCACUCAUAUCCGUCAUCGAUCGCACCAAAAGCAUUGGCCUCUCCAAAAGAAAGGGCACCACCGUCCACCCCCACCGCACCAUCACCCCCAUUAAAAAGCAUGCAGUCACCACCCACCACAGACUCCACCCUUCUUCCAUCCCUCCUCUCCAAGUUGAAGCCUCCCUUAGCUCAAUUCCGACCCCAAGAUCCUCCUCCUCUCCCUUCUCCUUUUCAACUCCCUCUCACCCUCCUCUUCUCCUCCCUUUUCUCCACCCUCUAACUAUUAUACUCUCUAAUUUCCCCCCCCUUCUCUCUCCCCUUAUCCAUCUCUAUGUGAAGAGCUGGUUAGAUGGAUACGUUGUUUAGAUUGGUGAGCCUCCAGUCAUCAGAUCAGCAAUCCUCCUUCAACUCCAACCGCACGUCGAGUAGCUCGAGAUCCUCGAAAGCCCACCACCACCACCAUUUCCUCCACCACCCCUUCCAAAACCAAGAAGAGGAGCUGUACAAAGAAGAAUGUGGAAACAAUUACCACCUUUACAUGGAUGAAGACUUCUCCUCCUCCUCUUCUUCCAAGCACUUCCACCCUCAACCUUCCACCACCACCACCACCACCACCCCGGCUCCCUCGACCGCCGCCACCACGCCGACCGCUUCCACUGCCCACGCACUCUUCGAGCCGGCCGACUUUUCCUUCCCACCGGACCUUAAUCUCGAUUUCGCCUCUCCGACCUCCUCUUCAUCGGCCGCUGCCGCCGCCGCCCCCGGCGCUGGCGGAGGAGGGUGGGCUGCGCAGCUGCUGUUGGAUUGUGCGCGGGCGGUGGCCGCCCGCGACUCGCAGCGCGUCCAGCAGCUGAUAUGGAUGCUGAAUGAGCUAGCGUCGCCCUACGGCGACACCGAGCAGAAGGUGGCGUCGUACUUUCUGCAGGCGCUCUUCGCCCGGCUGACCUCCGCCGGGGCCCGCACGCUCCGCACCCUCGCCGCCGCCUCCGACCGGACCUGCUCCUUCGACUCCACCCGCCGCACGGCCUUGAGAUUCCAGGAGCUCAGCCCCUGGUCCUCCUUCGGCCACGUCGCCGCCAACGGCGCCAUCCUCGAGUCCUUUCUCGACGCCGCCGCCGGUGGUGGGUCCCAGACGCAGCGGCUCCACAUCCUCGACCUCAGCAACACCUUCUGCACCCAGUGGCCUACUCUCCUGGAGGCGCUCGCCACCCGGUCGUCGGACGACACCCCGCACCUCUCGAUCACCACCGUCGUCUCCUCCGCCUCGCCGUCGGCCGCCGUCCAGAGGGUGAUGAAGGAGAUCGGGCAGAGAAUGGAGAAGUUCGCGCGGCUUAUGGGUGUGCCGUUCAAAUUCAACGUCAUCCACCACGCCGGCGAUCUAUCGGAGCUCGACCUCGAUUGCCUCGACCUCCAGGACGGCGGCGGCGCGGCGCUGGCUGUCAACUGCGUCAACGCCCUCCACGGCGUGUCCCCCGCCGGCCGCCGGCGGGACGCGUUCAUCGCUUCCCUCCGCCGGCUGCAGCCGCGGAUCGUGACGGUGGUGGAGGAGGAGGCGGACCUCGAGGCGGCCGGCAGCGGCGAUGGUGGAGGGGAGGAAGGGGAGGAGGGGUUCUUGAAGGGGUUCAGGGAGAGUUUGAGGUUCUUCUCGGCCUACUUCGACUCGCUCGAGGAGAGCUUUCCGAGGACGAGCAACGAGAGGCUGGCGCUGGAGCGGGCGGCGGGGCGGGCGGUGGUGGACCUGGUGGCGUGCCCGGCGGCUGAGUCGGCGGAGCGGAGGGAGACGGCGGCGGGGUGGUCGCGGCGGAUGCGGGCUGCGGGUUUCGUGCCGGCGGCGUUCAGUGAGGACGUGGCGGACGACGUGAGGGCGCUGCUGAGGAGGUAUAGGGAGGGGUGGUCGAUGCGGGCGGCGGAGGAGGCGGAGGACCCCUGCGGCGCCGCUGCCGGAAUCUUUCUCGCGUGGAAGGACCAGCCUGUGGUAUGGGCGAGCGCGUGGAAGCCAUGAAAGAUGGCGGGAGAGGAGACCGAAAGGGAAAAGCCAAAGCCUAGCCAUUGGCACGUGCGGUGGAGCGGGAGUGUUGUGUUUUAAAAUGGCUCGCACGUGGGAACUGGAAACUAGGGCCGAGGAAGGAGAGCGGGGAAGAGAGAGAAGGACGGAACGCAAUGGAUGCGCGAGAAAGAAAGGAGGAAAGAGAAAAGGAGAGAAUAUUUUUAAUUUUUAUCACAAGAUAUUGUCAUCAUGACGGCUAUUAUUCUCUCCCUUGUUUCUAUAGUUUCUUUUCAUUUUUUAACUUUGCUUGUGUUUUGUAUGUGAGUCUUAUAUGUGAUUUUGGUUGUUUGUAUAAGACUCGCAGAAAGGUUUCGAGAAUUCAGAUUUAAAAAAAAAAAUUCUUUAAAUAACCCCUUACAAAAUUAGCUCUUUCAUGAACUUCAGUCCACACGUAAAAACCAGUUUGUCAGAACAUUAAACGGCUGCUGGCUUUGGGAAGCAAGUUUUCUACUUUAAUCUAAGGUGAUUUGUUGACAUUUUAAAUUUUGUUAUGGGCUUAAAACUUAAAAAAAAAAAUAAAAUCAAGAGAGAAGAGAGGGUUCAUUGGAGUUGGUAGUUUAGUGAUGACAAAUAAUCAUAAGAAUUGAAAAAAUAUUAAUGUCUAGAUUGCCCUUACAUUAUUAUUUCUAAGAAUGAGUAUGUAUAGAGUGUCCAAGAUGAUGUCCUUGCAACCAUAGAGACAUUCUAUUCCAUGCAUGGUUACAACUAUAUAACAAUUGAUCGAUAUUUUGUUCCAAUCCAAUGCUUACAAUGGAUAGGUAUUCUGUUAACGUUAUCCAACAAUCCUUGAAGCGAUGAACGGCCAAAUAAUUAAUAUUCAAAAGUAACGAAGAUUUUAUAUACUAAUUAUUAAAAGUGCUUAGUGGAUUGUGAUAAGAAAACUAGAUUAAACAAUAGGGAUAGGUAUCUGUCGUUGAGAGGGUUAGGUGAUAAGGUGAUAUCAGUAGAAAGAGGGCUAUUUAUAAAAAGAAAGGAAAGAAAAGCCUUUAUAUAGAUCAUAGGUAGAUAUGGAAGGGGUCGUUAUCUCGUGAGGUAAGAGCGGUCGGGGAGCGAAUCUUAGGACGAGUGCUGCUGGAAUCUAGCAAAAGAUGGUGGUGGGGGUGGUGGGGGUGGCCCCAUUUUUUAUCUUUUCCCCUUUUUCUUUCCUCCUGAGAGGAAAGAGUGUGAUGGAUGGGAGCUGAACUUUUGAGGCUUUUGGGCGCUAUGCCCACCACUAAAGCGUGGGGGUUUCAUGAUGUCCAGGGUGGAGCUUUUGGGCCACCAGAGGUGGACAGAGAUAGUGGGAACUCCUUUUGAGAGAGGGCAGGGGACUGGUUUUCUUUUCAUCCUACUGUUCUAUUUAGAUCUCUUUCCAACAUGGUUGUUUGAUGAGACGCCCAAGCUUGUCCCCUCUUGUUCCUUAAACAUGCCCACUAAAUAAUUAUUCAUGUCAUGCAAAUAAAGUGAAAAAGAGCAUGCUAGAUCUACACGCGCAGACAAGAACUGCCUGCAUGAAUUUUGUGCCUCAACUCAAAGCUCUCCGCUUGACCCACAUUAUAAAGGAAGCCAUACCCAGGCCCUGCCGAAAAGAAGCUGUAGGUUUAGCACUGCUCAAGACAAGAAACACUAAAAAAAGAGGAGCUGAAAGAAACAUCUUUUCUUUGUAGCAGUCAUUCUGAGUAAAGGAGAGUCAAAAUGAUGCGGGGCACAGAGAAAGGGAGAUUUCGGUGCUUAGGUCCCCCCGGUGCACUUGUAUAUUUUAGUGUGAGUUCAUCGGAAGCUAGAAUGUCAUUUGUUAACGAGCAUUAUUUACUCGAGGUACGAAUGGCGCCUGAUGAAUUUCCGGAAAGAAGCAAAAUUAACGAGCAUUUAUUAACGAUGACUGUAGUGAAAACGUUAAGCAGCCAGCCCUAGUUUCCCGCUUUGCCCGAUCCGAGUUAUUACUAGAAGGAGUGUUCUUUAUCUCUCGCGAAGCCAGAAGAGUGCCUUCCCUCUAUAUUGUGACAUGAACAUGAAGGUUCUGCACCGAGAUCAGCGGCUGCUUGGCAUACUCGGAGGUUGGUAUGAACCGAAAAGAAGUAAGGUCGGAUGUGGCUGAGGUAAAAAUAAGUUGAAUGUCGCCGAGGCCAACCUGCAGGAAGUCCGCUUGCCGAAAGAUUUUUGAUGGAGAUCCUCCGAUGUUUAAGUCAGAAUAGUAAAUCAACAGUAUAGAAAGGAGAAAAUUUAUGAAGUGGAAUCUCAAAAAAUGAAUUUACUUGAGGAUCCUCGGGCCACCCCUUAUCUUAUUUGGCGUGAUGUGUCUUAACUGUAUGGUAAUAAUUAGUUGCAUGUUAAUAACGUAAUAAUCGUCCCACAUGAGCAGCACGCGGUGGCAAUUACGCUGUUCAUACAUUGGCUGCAGUAUCGCCAUAACUGCUGGUCUUUAUUAGCACAAGUAGAUGACACAUUGGUUUUAUUCGAAGUAGUUCACCUUGGUUAAUACCAAAGUGAAGAAGGUCGGUCUAAGCCAAGGUCAAGAUGUCCAAUAUUUCUCCCAUCAUUUGCCUCCCAUUUCUGAGGCCAAACCGAAUCUUAGUUCAGGUGAUAGACGUUGUAUCAUCAUCUUGAUCGAAGACAAGAUAUCUAGAAUAGAGUUUUAAUGCAUCGAUUGAUCUUCUCAAAGUACCAUCAUAUCAGAACUGUUCUGAGAUGUUAUUAUUUUGGAGUUUUCGUGAGGUGCUAGCUCAAAUCACUCUUUGCACGCUUUCCAACUCAAUGUGGUCCUUAUGGAGUGCGUACUUGGUUUUAGCUGUUGUCUUUUAGUUUGGAAGCUGAUUGGUAUACCACGUCAAUGUAAAUCAUGGUCUUUCGGUUUUCUACUUAGGAUGGUUGGUAUUGCCGCUAGGAAUCAGUUCGACCUAGGAGCUGAGUUAACAAGGUCGUCGGAGAUCUCGACUCACCUCUGUGGUUAUGACCCAAUGGCCGCUUGCCUCAAUCGGUGAUGAUCCUAAUGCCGAGUGCUUCCAAGUCGGCGAUGGAUGGCAGAGGAACUGUUUCGAUUGUCGCUCUGACAUUGGGNNNNNNNNNNNNNNNNNAACUCUCUGAUACCUAAGUCGAGGAGGAGGCCUGAAAGGAGCAGAGAGAUACCGUAAGAGAGUCGAAAGAGAACUUACCUGGAGGGUCUCAAGAAACACAAUAUAUGGGAUAGGAAUGGAGCUUGCUGCCAAGUAGUUUGAAGCUAUAUGCUAGUUCACAUGAACGUAUCUCACCAAUAAAUCAUAUCUGCACUUCUGAAUCAUGGAGAUUUGCUCAAGUAUUAUAUUUUUUAGGAAACAUUAGCGAUCAUGGCCGAGUUGUUGCUAGUUGGGGGGGAGAGUUUGAAAUACAAAGGACUCUCCAUGAGUCUUCUGGGUUGGCCACGUCGCAAGUUUUGAAUAGUCAGCCUACAUCUAGGUGGCAAUCUUUUAUUGGUCGAUUUGCCUUGUCAACUAAGAUUGAUUCAGAGAUAUGUCAUUUGUCCCCUACUUCCAAGGCCGAUGUAACUUGAUCGGCUCAGGUGAAGGAAGCAGUUUUCCUCGAAUAAAAUUGACCAGCCGAGGCGAGCUACGAAGCCGAUUAGCUGAGCUAUCUUGUUAGCUUUGAAAACCUUCUAGAGAUGGCGUUAAUGAUUGCGUGCUAGCAUCUAUUCUUCCCGAAGUGGUAUUAUUAGUGGCAAGAUUUUUGGGGGUAAUGAUUGGAUGCUUUGCUAGUAACAAUCCUAGAACAGUUUAGAAUCGAACAUUUGGUCAACACGUGAUAGAGAUUAGACCAGCUACUUGAAUGGCUACAUCGAUUCAGACCACCAGAGGCUCUAUAUAAUGCCUAUGGCCUGUGCUUCAUCUUCACUUCAAAGUUUCUGCACCCAAUCUCGUGAGAGUGGUCAAGGGUGAACCAGUGCUCCACCCCCGAAAUUCUUUUUUUCUCCAUUCUCGGCGAAGGUUCUUCUUCAUCAUCGUCGUUGUUGUUUGUUCUCCUAUUUUUCUGUCGAUGCUUCUUCACUGUAAACUUCUAUUAGGCCUUCUUGGUUUCUUGUUUCGAUUCCUGCUUCUUGUUGUUCUCUUUCAUCUUUUUUUCUUUCCUUUUGUCUGGGAGAAGUAACAAGGCAUAUAACCAAUGGGUGAUCCUUGGUUUGUUGUUUCGAUUCCUUUUCCUAUUUUUCUCAUUUUUUGUCGGGGUGUUGUUCUCGAUGAUCUAGGCCAAUGGAUCGGCCUUGACCUACUUAGUGAAAUAGUCAAUGGCCACUAUGAGAAACUUUCUCUGCCCGAUUGCUGGUAGGAAAGGCUUGAGAAUGUCUAUCACCCAUUAUAUGAAAGGCUAGGGGCGCUGAUCGGCAUGAGUGGUGCCGCCAGCUACUGUUGGAUGUUUGCAUGUCGUGUCACUAAUCAUACCUCUUCAUGAAGUUAGCAGCAUCCUUUUGAAUGGUUAACAAGUAGUAAUCUUACUGCAUAACCUUGUACGAUAAGGCUCUACCCCCUAGAUGGUUGCCAUAGAUUUCCUCGUGAACCUGCCAAAGGGCAUAGUCCAUCUCAAAAGGUCGAAGGCAUCUGAGGAGAGAUACGGUGAAUAACCUUUUAUACAAUAUCCCUUGUAAGAGGAUGUAGCGAGCUACCUGAGAUUUGAGUCCCCGAGCUUCUCUUCGAUCCGAAAGUUUUCCAUCUUAGAGGUAAUCAACCAGGGGGUCGAUCUAGCUUGGUUCAAGAUCGGCUUGUAGGACCGAGCUAGAGCCUUCCUCUAUGUCGGGCAUCUCAAGGACCUCCAGGUUGGUCGAUUUUCCCAAAUUUAUGCAUUCCAAUGUGGCGAGCAUGGAUAUUAAAACAACUUGGUCAUUCUAAGAUCUCGGGAUUUGCUGUACCUCAAUUUUGUCGAAGGAUGAGAAAAUAUACCGGACCUUUCAGAGGUACUUGGCCAUCAUGGGUUUUCUUGUCUCGAAGUCUUGUUGGAUGUGCCCAAUGACCAACUGGAAGUCGCUGAAGACCUUUAAGUGUCGAACAUCGAGUUCUCUCGCAAGCUUGAGGCCAGUAAGGAGGGCCUCAUACUCAGCUUCAUUAUUGAAAACUCUGAAGUUGAACUGCAGUGCGUACUCCGCCACAACUCCAUCAAGGCUGGUGAGGAUUAGCCUAGCUUCGCUCUCAUUUGAGUUGGAAGAUCUGUCGACAUGUAAUAUCCAGACAUCUUCUAGCUCGAGUUGUUCUUGAGGUUCUUCCAUACUUGCUUCCUUAGGGAUGGUGCAUUUUAUGAGGAAAUCCACCAACACUUGGCCAUUGGUAGCUGGUCGGGGACAAAAAUGGAUGUCAAAAUUUUCGAGCUCAAUCACCCGCUUGGUCAACCUUGCUAACAUAUCCUGCUUUUGCAUAACUUGUCGCCAUGGGCUGGUCAGUCGGCACUGUGAUGGAGUGUGCCAAAAAAUAUGAUUAGAGUCUUUCGACCAAGAUGAUAAGAGCAUAAGCCAUCUUAUCAAGUUUGGAAUAUCAUGUCUUUGCAUUGAGGAGGACUCGACUUUUGUAAUAUAUGGGUUUUUGCACUCCUUCUUCCUCCCAGGCUUAGCUUAGUGAGGAGGGGUUGUGAGCUGAGGUACUACUUGAGUUGGUCAAAGGAAUCUCGGCACUCCUUGGACCAUUAGAAAUUUUUGAUCUACCUUAGUGCUUUAAAGAAAAGCAAGCAUUUCUCAGCCGAUCUUGUAAUGAAGCUGCCUAGUGUCGCAAUCCUUCUUCAUCCUUGGAGGUAUCAUUUCCACCACUGCAUAAAUCUUUUCUGGAUGGGUUUCAAUCCCAUGAUGAGUAACCAAGAACCUGAGGUGCUUUUCCAUAGUGACUCCAAAAGCGCACUUGCUCAAAUUGAGCUUCAUACAGUACUUUCACAGGGCAGCAAAUACCUCCUAUAGGUCGGCCACGUGUUGUUCAAUCUCCUUACUUUUUACUAGCAUAUCGUCAAUAUAGACCUCUAUGUUGUGACAAAUCUAGUGCUUGAAGAUCUUGUUGACCAAGCGUUACUACAUGGCUCUGACAUUUUUAGUCUGAAUGGCAUGAUUUUGGAGCAAUAGAGUUCUUUAUCAGUGAUGAAGAUAUUUUUUUCUUCAUCCUUAGGUGCUAUCUAUAUUUGAUUGUAGCCCGAGAAUACGUCCAUGAAGCUUAGCAUCCAAUGCCCCGAUGUUGCAUCCAUGAGAUGGUUGAUCCUAAUAAUGGAAAACUAUCUUUAGGAUAGACCUUGUUAAGGUCUGUAAAGUCAACACACACCUGUCACUUUCUAUUAGCUUUCUUCAUAAGGACGACAUGCACUAUCUACUAGGGUAGGUGACUUCUCGGAUGAAGCCGAGAGCUUGUCCACCUCCUCAUCAGUGGCUGUUUCCUCUAUAGGGUGAAUCCCCUCUACUUCUGUUUUUGCUCAUCCCAAGCAUCAAAGCCUUUAAUGUGAUGCGCUCCAUAGGCUUCUUCCCUCAUAAAGUGGCCACACAACACUAUCGAGCUAGUGUUUGGUCACCUCGAACUUCUUCCGUAUCGUGUCUGAUUGAGAACCUCAUGAGAAGAUGGUAGGUGGACACUGUAGCACGAAGGGUGUUCAAUCUGGGUCGAUCCAAAAUGGUGUUAUAUGCCAAGGAUAUUUUCACGACCAAAAAAUCAAGCAUCAUGGUUGUUUGCCUCGGAGCCCAACUAAGGAUGACCAGGAGGGAGAUAACUCUUUCUACAGAGAUUGGGUCUCCUAAAAAUCCAAUCAAAGGUGAGUUUAUCGUCUUCAAUUGGUCAGUAGGCAUAUUCAUCUUGCAUAAAACCUCAUAAAACAAUACAUCCGUCGAGCUUACAUUUCUACUAAAAUACGUUUUAUAUCAUAAUUACCGACGAUUAAGAAAACUACAAUAGUGUCAUCAUGUGCAGUUUGGACGCCCUCGAUGUCGAUACGAGAAGGAUAUCACCUUGCCCGUCCUCUACAUUUUCAGAUCUAAACUUUUUGCUUGAGUAGAGUGUAGUUCCUUUGCAUGGACAAGAUCAUUCAACCAGCUAUUGGACCACACGAGAUAGUGUUGAUGAUGUCUGUCAUUGGUUAAUUGUUAAUCUCCUGCUCAGGCACAGGCAACUCCUGACUAGUAUUGUUCCGAUCUUGUGGGUGGUCAACAAAGGGACCGAGGUAUCCUCGCUAGAUGAGGGCCUUGAUCUCAUUCUUGAGCUACUGGCAAUCUUUGGUAUUCUAGCUGAAGUUUUGAUGGAACUUGCAGAAUUUAUCUUUAUCCUUCUUGGCGGCUUUCUUCAUCUUUUGAGGCGAUUUACAUAGCCUCGAUCCUUUAUCUUCACUAAGAUCUAUAUUCGAGGAGUAUUAAGAGGCGUGUACCUCUCGAACUGUUGAGUUGGACUCCUCAGACAUGAAGACUUUGGUGGUCCAUCGUUUGCUUCCUCCUAGGCUCGUCCUUGUCCUUUUGAGUCCGUUUACUCUUUUUUUUCCUAGGCUUGUUCCUGGCUGACUCUUGCAGAGAUAUCAUAGCUUUUUCUACAUCUGUAUAUUUCUCAACUUGGCAGGGAGUUCCAAAUGGCUUCUGGGGAACCUCUUCUCAAGAAAAAAGAGAAACUGAGAAGUCUUCAGCCAGUGUUUCAAUGCAAAGACCACGACCGAGUGGUUCAAGUCAUGCACUUCUAGAGCCGCUGCGUUGAAACAGUUAACAUAGUCCUAGAGGGACUUUCCAUCCUGUUGCGCAAUAGGAAUAGACACUCUAAAUCUUUCCUCUGCCAGUGGACGCUGAUAAAGUGUACCAUAAGUAAUCGGUUUAAUUGCUCGAAGGAGUGAAUCAAGUUUGGUUGCAGCCCAAUGUACCACAGUCAAGCUGUCUUUUGGAGAGUAGCUAAGAAAGCUCAGAAGAGAACUACGUUGGUGGCCUCUUGGAGCAUCAUGAGGGCUCUAAAAGUCUCUAAAUGGUCUAAGAGAUCAGUAGUCCCAUCAUAGAUCUCCAGUGAGAGCAUCUUGAAACAAGGAGAAAAGGGUUCAUCCAUAAUCAUCGCCCAUAACGGAGAGUUUGUUGUCGACAUCAUCCUCGAGCUCAACAUUGUGAGCUCUCAAAGCCUCAAGGCGUCGAUCCAUUUUCUCGUAUGGUCGAGAUCGACCUUCCUCCUGAAAAUUCUCUCUAGUUAGUGAUGGGACGAAUAUCAUGGCAUUGAUCCCUCCCGGGACUGUGAGCUUAGGGAUCGGGGCCUUCUCUCUUGUACUGUGCUCCGUGGGCGAGUAAUGACUAUAUCGAGCCCAUCCUUAACUCCAAGGAUGGGAAUGAUGACUCAACUGUACCAGGCCCCUGGUCUCCUGGUGCGUGAGUCUGUCGCAACAGCUAUUGCACAUGCAAUUGCUACUAUUGGUGGUGGUUAGAAGCACUUUACUGUAGGUUUUGGACAGUGGUGGUCAAUGUCUGAACAUAAGCAAACAGAACUGCUUAACGGUGAUUGAUGGGCUUGGCUAUGGCUCCUGUGGGUCUGGCUGUGGCUCCUGUGGAGAAGGAACCCUUCGAGGGCUCUGCAAAGAGCCAUCAGACUCCAACAAUGCAUCUUGUUGGGCAGGUGUGGCCGCCACUUGCAUUCUCCAUGACUUCAUGGUUGUAUGUCACCGGCUUGAUUGAUUAGACCUCUAAAGAUGAGAUCAGAAACCUUCCUUUAGUGCCAAUCUAUUACCGUUGGGAACUGGCCCAAUGUAGAUGUCGAGUUAAUGGGUUGUUGGAGAUCUCAGUUCAUCCACCAUUUGGAUUGAAAAGAUUUGAUGGGGUGGCAUACCUCCGCAGCGAUGAUUCGAUGGUUGUUGCACUCUAUUGGUGAUAAUCCUGAUGUAGAGCUCUUCCAAAUCAGCAUUGGAUGGCGGAGGCACUGCUUCGACCAUCGCUCUGACGCUGGCUUUGAUUUGAAAUAAUAAGAAAAAAGAAGUCUAUCUGUCGAAGCAUGUCCAGUGGAGGGACCCUUUGAUGCCUAAAUAAAAUACGGCUCUCAAAAAACAAGAGAAGAGUUGAAAGGGGUAGAGAUGCAGCAUAAGAAAGUUGCAAAAGAACUUACAAGGAGGAUCCCCGAGAAUGCAAUAUAUAGGUAAGGGCCUAAUCCCACUACCGAGUUGUUUAGGGUUAUACACAUGUUGAUAUGUUAAUAAGCCACAUAUCCCACUCAUAAAUCAUGCACGUGCUUCUCGGACACGUGUAAUUUGCUUGAUAACUAAUUAUCACACCUUUCAAUCAUUCUAUUUACAUAAUAAAAUAUAAAUCGUUAAAUGUGCUAUACAAGGUCUAAAAUGCCUAUGUAACAAAUAUCACACCUUUAGAUAACACCUUCCAACCAUUCAAUUUACACAAUAAAAUAUAAACUAUUAAAUAUUUUCAAGGUCUAAAAUGCCCAUGCAUAAGAAAAUAAUAUUUUUGAAAACUUUUUUGGCCAUGCACUAAUCUCUCUCAACUAUAUAAUCCUAAUAAUACAAUACAAUUUGGUUACUUUGGGACUAGAUAUAUCCAAGCAGCCUUCAAAACAUAUGAUUUUUUAUACCAAAACAUUAUAAGCCUUUUACAUCAUAAAUGAUAAUUUGAAUUUUCAAUUUGCAACUCAGAUCAUUAAAUUUUAUUACGAGUGUAAACUACUCUCUUGACAUCCCAUUUGUAUUAUAAUCGUAUUCUCAUGUCCAAGUUGUAUCAUAUGCUAUAUUCUUAGGAUUUUCUUCAUUAGUGUGACUAUACAUUCAUUAGAUGUGCAUGCAAGAGUUGUUGCCCAUCAAAAUGCGAAAGAAUUUAUUGUAUUGCUUUGUGCCAAGAAAAAAUGCUUGUCAAAUGGCACAAAUAAGACCUCAAGAGUUGUUCCCUAACCAUAAAUAAGUAGUUGGUGUAGAUGAGCAACUUUUGUGUUUUGUGGGGACUAUCAAUGAUAUAUUGCAGGACAUCGAUUGUUCAAGCUUUACAUGACAACCUAUGGUUAGUCACAUAAUCGGCUUAAAAAUUUGUAAGAUCUCCAAAUGAGCCCAAAUGGCACAUUCCUAUCUUCGUACUGCAAUCCAUGUGCAUGUUCCUCUCACGCAUUACUUUUUGCAUUCGUAUCACUUUGUGCGUUAUUGCCCAUGAACUGUGCUUGAAGUAUGGGGAACGUACUACUAACAUUUUUAUAAGCAUUUUGGUACAAAUGAACCAUCCUUUAUUGCUGCAAAAGGGUGGAUUGACCUCCUGACCUGAGGCCCCACAAUACUCCUCCAACACCCUCCUCAAUGCCAGGGCUGAUCUCCUCAUCAUCCGGGCUAACAACAAGCAAUCAUCCACGAACAAUAGAUGAGAGAUCGGAGACGCUCUCGGUGCAGACUUAUAUGCUGCUACCUCCUAUCUCUCCGUGACUAACCGGAGUGCCCUAGAUAGACAAUCCGCACCCAAAAUGAAAAGUAACGGUGAUAGUGGGCAUCCCUGUCUCAAGCCCACCGAUGACACAAAAAACCGAGAUGGGGAGCCGUUCACCAAUAAUGCAAAAGAUGGGGCGAGGAUACAAUUCUGAAUCCACCUAAUCCAAAGGGGGUUGAAACCAAACCCUCUAACGACUGAGCCAAAAAUUCCAUNNNNNNNNNNNNNNNNNNNNNNNNNNNNNNNNNNNNNNNNNNNNNNNNNNNNNNNNNNNNNNNNNNNNNNNNNNNNNNNNNNNNNNNNNNNNNNNNNNNNNNNNNNNNNNNNNNNNNNNNNNNNNNNNNNNNNNNNNNNNNNNNNNNNNNNNNNNNNNNNNNNNNNNNNNNNNNNNNNNNNNNNNNNNNNNNNNNNNNNNNNNNNNNNNNNNNNNNNNNNNNNNNNNNNNNNNNNNNNNNNNNNNNNNNNNNNNNNNNNNNNNNNNNNNNNNNNNNNNNNNNNNNNNNNNNNNNNNNNNNNNNNNNNNNNNNNNNNNNNNNNNNNNNNNNNNNNNNNNNNNNNNNNNNNNNNNNNNNNNNNNNNNNNNNNNNNNNNNNNNNNNNNNNNNNNNNNNNNNNNNNNNNNNNNNNNNNNNNNNNNNNNNNNNNNNNNNNNNNNNNNNNNNNNNNNNNNNNNNNNNNNNNNNNNNNNNNNNNNNNNNNNNNNNNNNNNNNNNNNNNNNNNNNNNNNNNNNNNNNNNNNNNNNNNNNNNNNNNNNNNNNNNNNNNNNNNNNNNNNNNNNNNNNNNNNNNNNNNNNNNNNNNNNNNNNNNNNNNNNNNNNNNNNNNNNNNNNNNNNNNNNNNNNNNNNNNNNNNNNNNNNNNNNNNNNNNNNNNNNNNNNNNNNNNNNNNNNNNNNNNNNNNNNNNNNNNNNNNNNNNNNNNNNNNNNNNNNNNNNNNNNNNNNNNNNNNNNNNNNNNNNNNNNNNNNNNNNNNNNNNNNNNNNNNNNNNNNNNNNNNNNNNNNNNNNNNNNNNNNNNNNNNNNNNNNNNNNNNNNNNNNNNNNNNNNNNNNNNNNNNNNNNNNNNNNNNNNNNNNNNNNNNNNNNNNNNNNNNNNNNNNNNNNNNNNNNNNNNNNNNNNNNNNNNNNNNNNNNNNNNNNNNNNNNNNNNNNNNNNNNNNNNNNNNNNNNNNNNNNNNNNNNNNNNNNNNNNNNNNNNNNNNNNNNNNNNNNNNNNNNNNNNNNNNNNNNNNNNNNNNNNNNNNNNNNNNNNNNNNNNNNNNNNNNNNNNNNNNNNNNNNNNNNNNNNNNNNNNNNNNNNNNNNNNNNNNNNNNNNNNNNNNNNNNNNNNNNNNNNNNNNNNNNNNNNNNNNNNNNNNNNNNNNNNNNNNNNNNNNNNNNNNNNNNNNNNNNNNNNNNNNNNNNNNNNNNNNNNNNNNNNNNNNNNNNNNNNNNNNNNNNNNNNNNNNNNNNNNNNNNNNNNNNNNNNNNNNNNNNNNNNNNNNNNNNNNNNNNNNNNNNNNNNNNNNNNNNNNNNNNNNNNNNNNNNNNNNNNNNNNNNNNNNNNNNNNNNNNNNNNNNNNNNNNNNNNNNNNNNNNNNUUUACUGGUCCAUGAGUCACUUGGCACUUCUAUCAUCAUAUGUCCCAGAGCAUGACAUCAAGUACAUAAAAUGCUACCACAGGAGCUAAAAGGAGAAUAGUUAAAUUGUUGCAUGGGUUCAGCCGUUCAGGCGAAGAAAACAAGGCAGAUGCUCUGGAUUUGAGACAACCUAUCCAUUGCUGUUAAUUAUUUUAAGAAAAAGCUAUGUUGCUGCCAGAGUGGACAGGUCAUGUACAUGAACCUGACCCAUGAAAGCCCUGGCAUCCCCUCCACCCGGGAUGGUAGUAUUAUUAAUACUAGCAUACGGACCAGUGUAUCGCAUCUAAAGUAAAAUAAAAUUAUUCUAAUAUUAUUUUUAAUAUAAAUUUAUAUUAUGUAUCCUAUCUUUUAGUAAAAAUUUAACUUGAUCAACACAUAAAUUUAUAUUAAAAAAAAGAAGAAUAAAAAAAUAAAUAAACAUCAGUAUAUCGAAAAUAAAGAUUGUCAUGCCGCAUAUCUGUAUGGAGGAUCGUAUAAGCAUACAUGGCUACAGAUCGUAUCAUAAUCAUAAAGCAAUAAUAAUUGUUUGAUUCUUGAAAAUUAAUUUCACAAAUCAUUUUUAUAAUCAAUUGUUUCAAAGUAACAUAAGCCAAAAUAUAUUAGCUAAUUAUUAUUUAUUUAAAUCAAAUAAAAUGAUUUAACUAAACUAGUCUAAAUAGUCUAAACUAAAAUUUCAAUAAUUAUGAAUAUCUUUGGAAGAUCUAGCGUACCCUCCAUGUUCCGAGCAGUUAUAAUUCAAGAUCUGAAAAAUAGAAAAAAAACAAUAAUGAGCUACACUAGUCCAAUAAACAGCAUAACAUCAAAGUGGGGUCUAAGUACACUAAAUAAAUAAAGAGCAUAAUACUGAUUGGGAAUAUACCAAUUUUUGAAUAAUAUAUAUCAGAGUAAAUUAUAACAAUCUUCCUCAAAUUAGGAGUAAAUUACAGUUACACCUAAUAGUAUGAAAAACCUAUAUUUACCUCUUUGAGGUUUAUUUUUAUUCGAUACUUUAACCUAUAACUUAACAUAAUACUAGUCAACUUGUUAACUUUUAAUGGGACCCAAAUGCCACAUUAGAAAAAAAAUUGAAAAUGAUCAAAAUAACCUUACAAAACCUUUUAAUGUUUAUAUUUAUUACACUUACACCCAAUAUUUUGUAAAAAACUACACUUGCGCCCAUUUAAAUUGACAACAUUAGUAAAACCAUUUAUCUAUUGUAAAAAGUUAAAAUUAUCUCUAAAAGAAAAAAAAGGCUCCUCUUUCAUUUUUCUGACUAUCAGAGCUCUUCAAAGUAUUACAUUUUUAAGAGUUUUUUCUCUUCGAGAUUAAGCGACUAGGGAUUCUUUUCCACUUCGCCAUCCUACUACGAGCGCCCCUUCCCGUCGAGCAACCAAUUAUAAACAUUCUUUCCAACCGACAUCCGAUGACGAGCAUCCUUUCCGACCAGCCUCCCUCUUUUUGAUAAGAUUUUGUUCUUGCUUCUUCGCCCACCACAUCAUAAAGAUCGGGGAUGCAAGUAUAUUAUUUGCUAAUUUUGAAAUUAAUUUGUCCAAUACUGUAGAUAUGAUUCCUUAACAUUGUCGCUGUGAGUAAGGAUUCUUAUAUUUAUAUACGAGCUAUAAUAGCUCUAGCAGCCUAUCAUUGAAAGGAUCCAAAUCAGUACGUACGUGAGAACUCUUCUUUUUGGAGGUUGUAUUAGUUGCAGUACCAUAGCUUGCCUUGGACUAUGAACAGGCUAGCGAAGCAAUAAAACUCUUGAUGUUAGUUUCCUACAUCAGAAAAUUUUAGAGGCAUCCACUUGCUUAAGAGAUCUAGAUUGCUUUUCUCUUGGCAUAUUGCUCUUUUCUAAUAAUUCAUCAAGAUCAUACUAAGACCCAUGGCACCACACGACUAUUCUCCUCCUUGGGUGGAUGUUAUAUCACUUAAGACUACUUUGUUCAUUUUUUAAUUUUUUUGACAUAGCAUUUAGGUCCCAUUUAAAUUAAUAGUUUAGCUAAUAUUGUAUUAAAUUAUGGGUUAAAGUGUUAGAUAAAAAAAAACCUCAAAGGAAUCAGCAUAGAUAUUUUAAACUAUUAAAUGUAAAUAUAAUUUAUCCCUAAUCUUAAGGGCAUUUUGUAAUUUACUUAUUAGAGAUAAUUUUGGUUUUUUAUAUGAGGUAAAUGGAUUCACCAAUGCCAUUAAUUUAACUAGUGUAAGUAUAGGUUUUACAAACUAGUGGGUAUAAGUGUAAUAAACGUAAACCUCAAGGAAGUUUUAAUUUACUACUCUAUAUAUUAUUAUUUUCAUAAUCGAUACUAGAGACCCAGCAUCAGGCUAUAGCCACGUAAUCCGGUGGCGUGGGUCAGAUACAUAAUAAACCAAGUGUCAGAUACCACUAUUCUAAUCACCGGUGGCUUAGUGUCGAAACUAGUUUCUCAUAUUAUAAGUCGAUAUGGCCAACAAAUAAUUUCUAUUGGCGGGGCCAGAUCAUAGUCGUACUGAGAAUACAUACAUAUGAAACAACUUUCAUAAUUUAUGCAGACAUAUUUUUCAAAUUUCAUAAUAUAACACAUAACAUAUUUAAAAAUAAUUUACUAUUGUAACAAUAAUAUGUCUGACCUAUUUGACCAAGUAUAAAAUAUAUAUCACGAUUAUAUUUAAUAAAAUAAUUAUCAAUUUACCAAAAUUUGGAGAACACACUUUAAAGCAUUAAGUUACUUAUUUCUUCUUACUUUAAAAUUUUACUUCAGAUAGAUGGGUCAGAUUCAUCUAUUUAAUAUCAUUAAAAUAUAAUUAAUUUCAUCAUUGUCUUAGAAGCCAAGCGAAGUCAUUGCCGACUUCAAUCAGAAAUGGGCCCAAUUGGGCGAAGUCUCGAAGAGAUCAAUGGCGAUAAACUUGUUAAAGAGGGAUUUGAAUAGAGUUAAGGUAACGUUGUUAAAAAUAAUAUUUUACGUAUGGAAAAAAUUGACAAAUUUAAAGUAUCUCCAAUGUUGUUUUUUUAUAAAAAUUAUAGCAUAGCAAAUCGAGUUAGGAUGAUGACUUCUCGUCAAGCUGGACUUAGUGGGCCGGGAGUGGGAUGGGGUGGGGCCGCCCGCGGGCCAAAUUCUCGUCUCGCCGCUGUCUCCAAGGACGAGGGCCCACCCACGUGCAGGGAGACGAGAGCGUCAUGGUAGCGAGCGCGGGACGAAUGGCCUCUUGUUUCGUGCGGGGCCCACGCAGCAAGCGGCCCCGCGAGACACCAAUACGGAAAUGGCUUGGGACCUUAAAAAUAAUGACCCGCACGUGACACCAAACCCCCAGCUAGCGUGAAGAGAUAGAUACCCGUCCAGCCACCGCUUUACCAACAAUCUCCUUGGAGGUUACUCUGUCGGGGUACGAAAAAGUACCGUUAGCAAGUCACUGGAUCCUAAGUUUUUUUUUCUUAUUUCAACACCACAGCUUACACUUAUCAAACAUAGGUACAAUCACACGUGGGAGUGUGGUAGUUCUGAGUUCGAAACGCACGGACGUCGAUUAAAUUAUGAAGGCCGGAUGCUUCCUGCUCGGACACGAGAUCUAGAAGGACAUAUCGCUCUGUUGGUAGCCUCGAUGAUGCUAGGUAUGACAUACUCACACGUGGUAUUCAUGCUGCAGCCCAGAGGGGUAACCGAGCCGGACCCACGGAUGAAGAGCAUAUGAAUAAAACCGGCCGGGGUGCCCAACACACAGUCAUUUCUGCCCUGUGGGGUGGAGGCCCAGUGGGGGCUGCUACGUGGGGGUGGGCUUGUCCCUUCCUCCCCCCUUCCUCUUUUCAUUAGCAAAAAAAAAAACAUAGGUACAAUCGGCAAAAUUAAAAAAUAAUAAUAAUAUAAAAAAUGAGACACCAGCAUGUGGUCAACCCAAAUGAAACUUCCAGCAUAUUAAACUGCAAAUGAGGCCAUCUAAUCAGCUGUGCUCUUCGCCUCUCUAUAGACAUGUGUGGCCUAUGAGAGCAGGGUCUAGAACCCGUGUUGGGUCCCACUGGAUCCAAGUUGGUGACGAGGAAUGUGUGCGGUGGUGGAGAGAACCUGCUUAUAGAUCAUAGCAAUUCAUGAUCGAGGGGACGACCUAUAAUUGUAGGAGCCACGUGAAACGCGAAGCUUUUGAGGGCUUGUUAUCAUGUAUUAGCCAUUUGGCAUGGUGUAUUUUAGGAUUUGCGCUUGGCGAAUAGGCACUUGGCAUGAUGCCAAAAGCAGCCUUAUUUUUCAUCAUUGUGUGAAUCUCAAAGUUUAUACACAAAAGAAACACAGUUCCAUCGCCAAGCGGAUCCAACGGCAAUCUCUACUACUGUGAUACCAAAGGCGUCGAACAGCUGAAGUUACUUUAUGUGGCUAAUCACACUAAAUCUUUUUUUUCAUCAUCUUUGUUGGAUAUUCUUGUUAAAUUUUUCGAUAUUUUAUUUAUGUAUUUACUAAAUCUGAUUUACUAAAAAAAGAAAAAAACCCUCCAACUGCUCACUUCUGAGUCUCAUAUAAUGAUAAAAUAGGUUAUGAGUCAUCACCUACAAUGACAUAUGAGAAUGUUUGGUUACAAAAAAAUAGACAAAAAUAGAAGAACAUGAAAAUAAAAAUCCCAAGAAACCAAUUAUUAUUUUUUUUCAAAUUUAUUAAUUUUUGAAAUAAAUAAAUAGAAAAUUGGAUUUUUUACGGAAAACAUUUUUGUUUUUAAAUCAAUACUCCGUGAAGCCAAAAGUGUCAUUGGUACUUUAACCCAUUUCAUAUACAUCUUAGUUUCUUUUCAAGGAAAAGUUCUUAAUCAUGCAGCCAACCAUGCUUCAUCCAUGCUUUUUCUUCUAAACAUUUAUGUGCUUAAUGUUAAGGUUUGCCUUGUCGAUAUGCAUGGACUCCUUGUUUUGAACUAAUUAAUAUAUCAUGUAGUGAUAUUUGAAUCAUACUUAAAUAUUUAGAUGAUCACAUAUUUGUGACAAUGAAGAUUUUAAAAAUGGACAUGCAGAUGUAUAUGCUACAAGAUGUCUGUCACCCCAACACUACUAAAGACAUUUUCAAUGCAACUUUAGUUAAUUCCACCAGCUAGAAUUUAACAUAUAUUUUCACACACACAUAUAUAAAAAAAACAGAACUAGGAAAUGUUAGAUCAUGAUUAUAGUGAUUAAAUAUAAUGUGUUGGUGGGCGUUCAAAGCUAUGUUGUUCGUGCAAGAUUCUAGGUAAAAAGAUUGUUAUAAUCUGCUGAAAGAAUCAAAUUCAAUUUGAAUGGGAUUCAGAAAGAAAAAGAACUAAAGAUGAUCCUUUAAACAAGAAAACACUCCUCAAGGAAGAAAAGAAGAAUACCUUUUAUCAAUAGGAAUCCUCUUGUUUCUUGCAUCCCACAAAUGCCCAGAAUAAGGAAAGCACUACAAGCGCUUCCCCUUCCUCCUACUUGCACCAGGAUGCCAAGUAAUAUCUAUUUUCUGAGAGGAAGGAUGCCAAAUGAUAUCGUUUCAAAAAAGAAGUUCAAAAAUAAAAUCUGAUGGAUGAAGGAGAAAAUUAUACCUGGAUUAAUCAAAACAUCUCUAUUUUUUUCCAAAAAAAAGAUACAAGGCUAUGACCAACUUCGCUAAGUGUUUGGGUUGCAUCUUUUACGCGAAAUAAUGAUUUGCCUUCUUUCGCGAAGACGAUCAUUUCGAAAUCCAUGCAAAUAGAUGGAAGAAUGAGGUUAAAGUGCUUUGACAUCUGUAUGUUAAUAUGCGAUCCAACAGUCUACAUUGUAGAAAAAGAUCAAUCAUUCUUUCGCAUGAAAGAUACAACCCGAACCCAUUCGCUAAAAUCCAACGGGCUGGGUCAGGCCUAAGCCCGAGUCCAACCUGAUGUGGAAAGCUCUUCCUGCCAUUGUAAUGGUAGAGGUAUAUUGGUUUAGUUACUUUUCCCCGAAGUAACUUAGUACUGAUCUUUUUGAUUAAAUUUUAAAGAGAAAUAUAUUCAUCAUGCACUCUAAUGCAAUAGUCUUUUUUUUUUUGUGCUAACUAAUAAUGAGAAAAGUCCCCUUCUUUCAUGGAACUACGGCAUCCUAGUGUGGCAGGAGGUUCCUCUCACCUUAGGUGUCAAUGGUUAAAGUAUUGAACAACCCAAAGCGAUAGCGGACCCAAGGUGGUUUUCCCACCCCAUCAACAAUCUCCAAGAGGGACUCACUCCCCAUCUUUAUUUUACUCCAGCAAUGAGUCUAUGGUUUAUUUCCAUCCGCGAGUUGAUCUCAAGCUAUAGCAUGCAAUCUGAACCCAAAUACUUACCAAGGAAAGACCUACAUGCGAUUCACAUCACCUUUUAUCUCUGCUCUAUGUAAAGAUCUGAUGCCGCACCAAACACGGGGAAAGCGGCUGCGGUGAAGGGUCCAACUCGGGAUGACUGCUGUGGCUUUAAAAUAGGAAACAGAGGAAGAGGGAGGAAGAACAGGAGGAGAAGAAGAGAGGAAGAGUGACAGAGAGGAGGAGAAGAGAGAGAAGAAAAGGGCAGGAAGAGAGAGACGGGAAGGGAGGAAGAGAGGUGGGGGAGAAAACCUUUAAUCCUUCGUUAAAAUCCUAAUCAUUAAAAUAGUCCUNNNNNNNNNNNNNNNNNNNNNNNNNNNNNNNNNNNNNNNNNNNNNNNNNNNNNNNNNNNNNNNNNNNNNNNNNNNNNNNNNNNNNNNNNNNNNNNNNNNNNNNNNNNNNNNGAUGGUGGACUAGGCGGGUAAAUAAUCAGCUCCGAUGUCUCCAUCAAGAUCUUUUUGGUACUCAGUGAAUUUCUCCCUUGUUACUCACCCUUUCAUGAGGAAGCCAACUGGCUGAUUUUAUGGCUGGUUCUUGCAGCUCUUCCAAUAAAUUUGAGUCUUAUUCAAUUUUUUCUGCCAAAUUUUGUGCAAGCGUUGAAGCAGAUAGUUUAGGUUGUUCAAACAAAGAAAAGGAGGAAGGAAGGAAGAAGGUUAAGCUUUCUCUUUAAUUUUUAAAAAUAACUUUUUUAAAAAAAAAUUUUGAAAACUUGGAUAACAAAGAAUGUCACCAAGAUCUAGACAAGGAUAUGAUCAACUCUAGAGCAUUGACAUUCAGAAUUAGUGAUUUUACUGAGGCAACCAUUUUGGCGUUCUCAAACAAAUAGAGGAAAAGACCUAUUUUUUUAUAAAACUUAAUUUUUAAUUUUUAUUAUAAAAACAUAGAAGGAACGAUAUUAAAGUUUAACAUUGUCUGUCUGAACCCUUGGUCGUAUAAUGCCAGUUCGAGACCCCUCCUAGGGUCUAUCCGGUAACUUGCUGAGGAAUUACAAUGGAAAAUCAAGGAGAACUCGACACUAUUUGCCGGCGGUUGAUCGGGGUUUGAGGAAGAGAUCGUUAGAAGGAAGUGGGAAAGCUUGUAUAGAUGAAUUUCCUAGGCUUUGCCGAAAUUUGAUGUGCCCUCAAACACCUCUUUUCUCAUCGUACUUAGGGAAGAAGAAGACUUCCAUCGAGAGUCUACCUCUCUUGACUCACAUGCCGGGCACAUGUUGAGUGGCCCAAACUGUUGGCCCACGCCAAACUAGGCUGGACCAGGCCCACUGUGAAAGGGCCCGUACAUGAUCCAUCAUAGUUUUUCUUUUGCGUUUUGUUUCGACUGGAGAAUGGUCCACAUCGAGGGGAAAAAGAAUUUAGUUGCAGCAAGUAGGCAUUUUUCAUUUUAGUGAACCAAGUUUUGACAACAAAAGCUUUUGUUUAUGUGGAAGGCAUGCAGCCCCCUGCGAUUGAACUCUGAGAGAUACUGUAUCUUUAACCUUGCAUGGAUUAUUUGUUAAACAUUGAUUAGUUUUUACACAAAAAAAAAGUGCUAAGUUUUAUUGACUAAUUUCUUUUAGUACAAUUUAAUCUCAUUCUACUUAUCUACUGAUCAGGUGCUCUCAAAGAAUUUUGAGCUUGCAAGCUUGAAUUACAUAAGGGCCCGUUUGACAACAAGCAGACCCUACAUUUUUCUUUUUAGGUUUUUGAAAACAGAAAUCUAUCUUCUCCGUUAAAUGGCGAUUCAAAGAAGGCUUGCGGGCGACGCGCGUCCGGUUUGCCCAUGGUCACAUGCUGGCCGUAGUGCAAGGAUUAAAGGGCGAUCCAAAUAAGGCCUAUGGGCGAUGCGUGACUGGUUUGCCCACGGUCACGUGUCGAUCGUAGUGGAAUGCAUCUAUUUUCUGGCAGCUUUGAUGGCCUAUGUUGCGUGACCGUUAAAUUAAAAAAAUAACAAUAUAAAAUAAUGGGUGCCCUAUGUAUUUGAGACUAUCUGAAUUUAAGUCUAUCAGUGGAUCCAAUGCAUCCAAAAUGCCUUAGAGAUUAUGUACACAUAGAAAAUAAGUGCCCCAAAAUAAAAAAACUCAAUGGUGUUAGAGUAUACCCGAUUUUGACGGAUUGGGUCACAAAAAGGACUAACUAGUUGAAGGAAGGUUGUAUAAAGAAAAAAAAAAUAAUGUACUUGAAAAAUGGGAGGAAAUAGGCAGAACGUGCCUUCCUUUCCAUAUGAUCUGACAGUGCCAUUUAUUUAAAACAUGUAGCAAUUUUUAUUUGGUUAGAGAUGGAUAAGUUGGAGCCUCUUCGGUAGGCUCCUACCCUCUUCCCCUUGCGAUCUUAAUCAUCGGAUAUUCAGAAGACAGAAGCCAAAAAAAAGGUGCUAAAUCUGUAUCAAUAGCAAAUUAAUGUACAGAUGGCACAAUCACUUCGGCAUAGCAUAUAAAUACUGCAACCCCUUCCAUAUUUAUUUAUUUAUUUAUUUAUUUGCUAAAGUGGAUGUUUCAUAUUAUACGAAUAUAAAUAUAUUAAGAAGAGCAUACAAAAAGUCCGAAAACCCCUCCCACCUUUUGACAGGAUACAGAUAGUUAGUGAUGGAUCCGAUUGGAGAGUUACGCACCGGCCGUCGAACUCUUCGGGGCGCGAUUUGUGUUUUUAUAAUAUUUUUCGUUGGCCAGCCGGUGUGAGACCGACGCGCUAGCUACAGACGAUCUUCCACCUAUCGUGUGGGCCAAUUUGGGACAUUAUUCCCAACGUGUGGCUUGCGAGAAAAGAACUCAUGCACACUAGGGUGACAUGGGAGUAUGACAGGAGAGUUACAGAAAAAUAUUUUAGUUUGGGGGGGGGGGGAAGAGAGAGAGAGAGCAUGGAGGCUGUAUUAAUUCUUUUUGGAGGGAGAAGAGGGGGUCAUAUGUGGCAACUAGUGAAUCUGAAAAGGUCUCCAACUAAAAGGUGCCAUNNNNNNNNNNNNACUAAAAAAAGAUCCUCUACUGAUGCUAACAACAAAGAGAGGGAGAGAGAGAGAGAGAGAAGAAAAAAACCAAGCAUCCACUACAAGUCUACAAGUCUACAGAUAUGGUUUGGAAAUAAGAAUCCAAAUAUGUUUCAAUCUUUCCUCCUAUUCUCAAACAUGAGGAUUUACAAAUAAUAAACAUUAUGUUAAUGGAUUCAACUACCAUUUCCUUGCAUCCAAAUCUAAAUAUAAACCCAGAAUUACGAACUACUGUCUGACCCAUGCGUAUCCAACAUCCACAUCACCGGCCGUUACUUCUCCUUUCUAUCUGCCGAAGAUGCAAGUAGCCCAACGGCAAGCUUGUGUGGAGUUGAAUGUGAACAUGCAGAGGUCUUUUGAUGAAACUGGAGGCUCCUUGUCUAAAAAAAGGGCAAAGUCAACAAGCCAGUCCCAGUUUCAUAAUUAGAAGAAGCAAUAGGAGGUUCACCAUAAGAAAGGCAUGGGACAUCUUGUACUAAAUGUCUCAAGUUUGUAUUUUCAACUUUUGCUUUGUUUCUGGGGACCACUCGAAAUAGUUAUUGGACAAGAGCCUGUUUGGUUCAAGAAUUAUUACUCAACUCCUCUGAAACCGUCGCCAAUUUAGGGCCCUCCGGUCCAUUGUCAGAGAAGCAGUAACAAUCUUAAAACAACUAAACUCGAGCCAAAAAUGGGUGGAAUGCUCUUGAAACCAAUUCACUUUGAGUGACUCAGAGAAGAGUAGAAUUUUAUGUGUAGGGGUUAAAACCGUAGAUCUACGCCAAAAGCCAAGGCAGCUCUCUGGCCUUUGCACUCUCAUUAGGGAUGGAAAUGCCCAAGUAAAAGCAGAGAACAACAACAAAUAGGAUUCCAUAAUUCCGUUCCUCAAGCCCCAUUCUAAGUUUUCCCAUGCAACUUGAAGGGCAGGAUAAAGGGCAGAUCGAACCACCGACCACCAACCCUUUAACCUACCAAAAAAAAAACAAAUAUCAAAAUAGACCACAGCACCGAAACCCAAACUUGACACCCUCUCACAGAAGGCGCGGGCCCUAUUGUCUGUCCUCCACAUACCGAGUGCGCGUCGGCAUUCACAUCCCCAAUCUCUGCUCCUCUUCCUGCCUCUCACCAAUCAGAUCUCUCCACGUAGCCCUACUCUGCCCCAGUCCACGUGCCCGUUGCCAGCCACGGAUCUAUAACGCCCGACGCCGUCAACCUCCUCCGUCAAACUCGAAGCACCCAACUGGAACGAAAUUUAGAAUUAUUUAUUAUAAAAAAUCAAAUAAAAGCAAUAUAUAUUAUUAAUAAAUAAAUCAGCCAUCAAAACGCCCGUCAAGAGCGUAUCGCCGGUCGGCAGAAACCCUCGCCCUCGUCGCCCCUCUCCAAAGGAAAAGAAAAAAAAUCCCACUUUUCCCCUUCCCACCGCCUCCCCUUUCCCAUGGACGACGACGACGACGCCCGCUCCGAUUCCCAGUCCAAAUCGCUGUCGCAGUCCCAAUCCGAAUCCCCGCCGCCCUCGCCGCCCACGCACCCCAUCUCUGUAGUGGCGCCCUCCUCUGCCGCCGCCCCCAGCUCCCACCCCAACGGUCGCGCCGCCGUCGAGCCCGUCACCGUCGCCGCCCCGCCCCAGCACACCCUAACCCUGGCCCUCCCCAUCCAGCGACCCUCCGGCGGCGGCGGCGGCGGCGGCGGGGGCGGCCGCGAGGAUUGCUGGAGCGAGGGCGCCACCUCGACCCUGAUCGACGCGUGGGGGGAGCGGUACCUGGAGCUCAGUCGGGGGAACCUGAAGCAGAAGCACUGGCAGGAGGUGGCCGAUGCCGUCACCAGCCGCGACGGCUACACGAAGACCCACAAAACCGACAUGCAGUGCAAGAACCGGAUCGAUACUCUAAAGAAGAAGUAUAAGAUCGAGAAAUCGAAGAUCGCCUCCGGCGCCGCCGACACCUCCUCCUGGCCCUUCUUCAGCCGCCUGGAUGUCCUCCUCGGCCCCAACCACAAGCCCACCUCCACCCUGACCGCCACCCCCGCCCUGCCUGCCCCUGCCAAUCCCGGCAACCCCCACCAUCCCUCGAAAUUUCCGGCCGGAGUCGCCCUCCGGCCUCCAAUCCAACCCCAAUUCCCCCAGCGGCACCGCACCCCGCACCAUAGCAACAAGAGGGGGAGAUCGCCGCCCUCGGUGUCGUCCCGGUCGGCGGGGCUGUCGGCCGCCUCGUCUGAUGGGCUCCCUCCGGAGCCGGCCGUGCACGAGAAGCGGCGGAAGCGGGAGGCUGAGCUGGAGGAUGAGGAGGAGGGGCUGCGGGAGCUGACGCGGGCGAUACUGAGGUUCGGGAAGGUGUACAAGAGAGUGGAGAGCUCGAAGCUGCAACAGGCCAUGGAGAUGGAGAAGCAGAGGAUGGCGUUUGCGAGAGAGCUGGAGCUCCAGAGGAUGCAAUUCUUCAUGAAGACCCAGAUGGAGCUCACUCAGCUGAAAAGCUGCCAUCUUGGGAGGAGGAGGAGGAGGAGGAGGGAUGGAGCUGGUGCCAGUGGCAACGGCCGCCGCCACAACAACAGCAGCAACAGUAAUACCAGCCACAACAGUGGGUAGAUGGGGGAGGAGCAGGGGAUUUUUAUUUGUCGUUUAGAUGGUGGGAAGGAUUUGGAUCCCAGUGUUAGAUCUGAGAAUAGGACUUCGUAGACGACUCUACCCCUUCACUGAAUCGGAAAAUGGUGGAAGGAAAUUGUACUCUGUUCUCUCUUGGGCAAAUUUGAUUUAUUAAUGUUAUGAUGAUGGUAAUUAUAAAAAUGGUCCUCCUUUUCUUACAUGGAUGUGAUGCUCUCUGGAAGUUUUGGCAUCUCAUGUAUUAUUAGUAAGGAGAGGUCUUGGACCUAUUUGUCUUUUGAGCAGCAGCAGGAAUAUGGAAACCAAUUGUUAGGACCGUAUCCACAGUGGAUUUCGGGCAAAUUUAAUUUUUCUUAUGGUGGUGAUUAUGAUAAUGUUACAUUUUUCUCUUUUUAUGGAGACAUGGGUUCAGAGACCUAUUUGUGUUCGGAGUAGCAGGAGAUUAGGAAACCAAAUUUUAAUGCAAGAUAACUAUGAAAUGUAUAAACAGCUAAAUUUUUUCUCAAAAUCCAAAGAAGUCAUCAGUUAUUCCAAUGAAUCGGACUGCAUUCUGUUCUCUUGUGCAAACUAGUAAUAAUUUCGAUGAUGGUAUGAUCUUUUUAUAUAGAUCAUGUGUCUUUUAAUUGUCUUAGUGUGAGCAUGUUUGAAAAACAACCAAAAGAAAGAGAUCCUUUUCUCCAAAGCAAUAAAUAGUGGGCCUUAAGUUCAAUUGUCAUAAUAUUGUUCGCCCCAUCCAAUUUAUUAACAUUAUAAAGGCGGCUAACAUGCUUAAGAAUUGAAAAUUUAAAGAGCAGUAGAAUGCUUUUUUUCCGAAGAUCCAAUGAGAGACGAGACUCCAGAUUUAGAACGAGCAUUCAAAGAAAAAAUAAUAUGGAGUUUGUGAACCUAGGAGCAUUUAACAGGUAGCGUUAAGAUUUAUAUAAUUCGAAGCUACAAACAGAAUGCAUGAGUUGGUGAGACUGCUUGAUGUCCCCUUAUCAUAAACAGCAUCUAGAGACUAGAGUAAGUACAUAUUAUAAAAUAAAGAAAUAUAAAAUUAACCAUAAAAAAUAAAGAAAGGAACAGAAUUUGUAAACUAAAAUCUAAAUGAAAAGGUUGUUUAGCUUAAUUAUCAUACAUAUAACAUUAUUGAAUCUACAGACCACAGAACUAGUCGGUUGGUGGGGAUGAAAGAAGACCCCAAGUGAUACACAAGAUCUCAGAGUAUGGCAUGGUAGGGAGAUGCAGUUGAUGUAUCGAUGGAUGUACAAUCAGAGUUCAUAUAACUACUAAUUGGACCAGACAUGAAUGAGACCUUGCUUGUUGCCGGUGUAGAUCUCAUUCCUGUCCUCAUCAUAGAAGAGGGCAGUCACAUCCUCCAAAGCUUCCCUGAUGGUGCUCCUGAUGGUGGAUCGAUUAGGGGCACCUCGCUUGCGAGGGGCAAUCUGGAGUGCAGGGUCAAGCGGGCAUAUUUUGGCAAUGCACUUUCCGCUAAGGAUGUUGCUCAUGUUGAUAGACCCAACUGGAGGAGCUGCAGAGGUUAGAUCAUAGGAUCAGACAUCAUUGUGACACAAAAGGGAAACAAAUAAAAUUAAACCAUCUCAAAGCAAAGAAGAAACCUUCUCCCUCAUCUUCACUUCCAUCUUCAGCCUUGCAGUAGGAGAUGAUCAGGUCCUGGUCACUGGUGAUAUAAAUGUUGUUUGUAUUACAGUCCGGAUGCCACAGCAGGUGGUCUUCAAAGGAAGUAACGAGCUCUCCACGGAAAUUCCACACCGAAACUGUCCUGUUCCGGAACGUUAAGAAGAGGUGGUUCUCAUAGAGGAAGAUGAAUGCUGAGGGAGUCAUGAACUCAGAUCGGCUCACUUCAAUCAGCUCUGAAUUCCGCACCUGCAACAGCUAUAGAAUGUCACAACUCAAAUGAACAGUAUUCAACAGAGAUUUAAGGAUGAAAAGGAUUUAGCAUUCGACAUCAAGAAUCUGCAGGUUCUCAUUCUCUUGCUUGACCAAAAGCUUCUCAUUGAACUGCUCGAUGAAAUCAACCUUCUUGUUGCGGUGUAACAGAUGAGUGAAAGAUUUCAACACUGUUCCAUCUUCAAUUGACAGGAUUGUCAGUGGUACAUAACCAGGAGUCCUCUGGUAUAUUAGCAGCAUGAUUCCCGGACUGAAAUCAGGGGAGAAAGAGAGAGAGAACCAGACAUCAUAACAUGGAAAGAAUCAGAUGCAUCAAAGUAUGAGUGAUGCAUUUAUGAGUCAGUUGAAAAAAGAAUCAAAACCUUAUUUUGAUCUCCUGUAUAUUCUUAUCACAUAUUGAGUACAAAUAGGAGUAAUUCUUCAGGUCAAACACCUUGUAAGUGCUGCAAAUGUUUGCAUGAAUCUGAUUAGACAACUAGAUAGCCAUAUCGUGAUAUCAAUACACAGAAGGGACAAAAGGUUGCUUACCCAUCCUGAGCUGAAUAAGUUAGUACUUUGCCAUUUACAUCAUCAAAUUCAACAAAACCAGGCCAUUUUAGUGACUCAGUCUCAAAAAGAGGAUAGCCAGCAUCCAAUUGAUUCCUCCUAAUAUACCUGUCAGAGUUCCAUAAAAUGUCAUGAAUGAAGGUUGAAAAGCUUAUCGAAUUUAGAUAUCAAUAUGAACUAUUCACCCACGAAUUGCUGACCCUAAAUAUUUAGGAUAACUUGAUUAUUAACUAGCUGUACCAUAAUUGACCCUAUAACUAAUUGUGAAAAAAAUCAAGAUGUAAUCUCAAUAAAAGAUGCAAUGAGCUAUAACCUCUCCCAGGGAACCCUAUCUUUUUUGUAAUGCGGGUAUGCCAUAAGCAUUGGUGAGAAUCCCACCUUUUAUGUAAUAAACCACUUUGACAGUUUCAACUUUUAUUCUCUUCAGAAAAAAGGAGACAUUUUCAACUUUACCAUCACUCUAUAGAUAUCAAGAAUCAGAGAGAUAAACAGUGUUUUUUUUUCACAAAUACAAGAAUAACUAGAGGAAAAACAAUAAAAAAUUAGCGAUCUUGGAAAGUUAAGAUUCUGACAUAAAUUAAAUUUCUUACUCUAUUGGAGUUGUCCUGCACUUCAAGGAACUGAAAUGGUCCGAUGCGUAAACCGACACUGUGAUAAGUGACUCAUUAUUCUUAUUAUAAAACAAGCUUCUAAUCACUUCAUCAGGGCUUAUGUUCAAGAAACAUAUGCGUUUGUUUGUCGCUGUAAACAAAAGAAGAAAGAAGCGCAAAUGACAAUCAAAUUAAACAAAAGGGUCGAUAGAAAACUGUAAAAUCAACAGGCUUACUCCGACUAAAAGCAGCACAGAGGCCCGAUUGUGCAAGAGCAAAUAUGACAUCUUUUGCUGCAACAAUCUCAAUGAUUUUGGACCUCUUCUUUAGAAAUUGCAGUCUUAGAAAAAAAUGGAUAUUGUGAUCAUAGGUAUCAAACUCCUCCUGCAUUACCCAAAAAAGGAAUCAUUUCUUUUCUGAUAGCAAACAAAGGAAUCAUUUCAAAUAUGCAGCCUUUAUUUAGCAUAAGGCAAGGUUAGAACUGAGGAAGAUUAGACCUUGUCAAUUCACAGUGAGUAAUGAAUUUCAUAGAAAAGUACUUUUUUUGAGAAUAUACUUAAGCACUAUUGCUUAAUCAAUAAGACACGCCCACAGCCCUAUCUUGUUUUAUAAACCAAACAGAAAAUAGAAAAAGGGUGUUCUGACUUUCCUAGGUAGAUAAAUCUUUGUUACAUAAUACCCUGAGAAGAUUGGUCAGAAGCACAGAUAAAAAAGGUACCAAGAUGAGCUAAGAAAAUGAGGAAUACAACAGGUUCCAAUACAUGUAUCUAAAGCAAGGCUGAAAAUCUAAGUUUUAGUGGGCAUUUCGGUUAAGAUUCUAGAAUUGGGGGAAAACAAAGCUCAGAUAAUAUAAAACUAAAUACUAUGUGGAAGAUUCUAACAUGCUGGGGGCACUAACAUGUCUGACAAGGCAUCAUUUGCAAAACCAAGUGAUAUAUCACUAUAGCAAAAGACUUUAAAACUUCUCAUAAUUGCCAGGAAGGAAGAACAUCAAGAUUUAAAACUAUAUGGAACUCUUAAAAUUAGUGGCUCAUAGAAAUGCAUAUUCUGAAGGCUUUCUGGCUGCUCAAGCAUUAUGGCUUCUAUCUAGAUGCUAAAUCUCCCAAGGACUUUAAGUACACAUUUUGCAUGUUCACCUAGCCAUUGCAAUUGAGGGUGGUUAACCAGAAAAAAAGAAUAAACAUGAGAAAUUUACUUUUGCUCAAAAGAGAUUCAGCAGUAGAGGCAUUGACUUGUGCAAGGCUCAGACAGUUUUUUGAAUAUAUACUAUAUCUUAGUAGGUAUGCAUAAACAUGCAGGAGAUAUUUGUUGAAAGGCGAUACUAAACAAAGACUUCAUUAGCUAUUGUUCCUACUCUUUGUGCAUUUUUUAAUGCUUUUUUACUAUCCCAUAACAAAAAGAUUGACUUUAUCACCUCGUAGAAAGUACGAAAUUAAUUAAAGAAGAAAAGAAACUACACUUGCACUUUCCAUGACAUAUCCUAAAUUGCAACCUGAGAGAUAUGAGAGAAUAUGGAUCUUCUGCCUCAAAAGAUAGCACUUUCAGUGACAGCACAUCUAUGAUAUAUAUAUAUAGACAUUGGUUUCAAGUGGAAAUGAAUGUUCUUCUCCUCCAUAUUUAUCUUUGGAGGUUUUUAUAGCUCCACCACCUCACAAAGAAAUACCUUAUCAUGCUGUGGCCACGUUUUGCUUCAUGAUAUAGGGAAUGUAGCAAGCCAGCACACUGAAACCUUUCCCUCAACCCUAUAAAAUGCGAGUCCUUAAAACCUCAAGUGUAAGCUGUUGUGCUGGAAAGGUAAAAGAUGCUAACAUGAACUGAAUAAAUUAUCCUGCUUGUUAGUUACAAUCUCGAAUUCUAGCUGGUACGUUGCUCUCUUAUUUCAAUGGUCAACAUUCUCGCAGAACAGAUGCUUGCUCAUGCUGCACUCACACUGCAAUAGCCUGAUUCGGAAGAAUGGCAACCAUCUGAUUUUAUGCCAUGUGUCACCAUGUGGGUGGUUGCUACAUUAAGAUACCGAAAUAUUAUAAAUAUCAAAAUGAACUAAAUGUUAAUGAUGCCUUGAUUAUAGAUGUGGUUUAUGCUAAAAGUACACAUAUUAACUUUAUAUUUAGCUCUUCAUUAGAAGGAUUGCAUAAGAUGAAGGCUAACAGAUCAGUGGCUGAUGGGGAUAUUUGCAACUUUGAGCUUGCAGGUUUGAAAUAAGCCUGAAGCAAUGAUGAAUAUCAGGUCACAAUGGAGAGCGACAAAAGUAGCCUUAUCCCAUAACCUCAAGGUUGGUCUCUUCCUAUGAACCAUGCAAUAUUAUUGUGUUUUCUACUUGUACAUACUUUCUCAGACGAGAAUGAUCAUAAUGUAUCUUAUAAAGUGUAGCACCAAAGAUAUAUCUUUUCCUCACAAUCCUUUUUAUUAAGUGAUUUAAUUAUGAGAUACUGUUUUGAAAAUAUUUCCCUAGAGUGAUGUAUUAUUAUGCAGCAGAACCUAACAGUCAGAAGCAGCGAAAAAGAAUAAAAGAAACACAUUUUGUUUCAGUGUGGAAUAACCCUAACAUUUGGUUUCUGGAGAACAUUCUUUUCUUGAUACAUCUUGACAAGCCUAGAAAGUAAAUUACUACUUUCUGCUAGGAUCUUAUGGUCCAAAAUAAGUGACAAAUCAAAGAGAGAGAAUGAUGCUGCUUGCCCUUACUUGAAAAUGAAGUCAAUUUAUAUGGGAUUCAUAUUGUGAAUUCUUCUUCAUAAUUAUUCCUAAUAAGGACUACUGAUUUUGACAAGGCAAAAAUAUUCCAAAUCAUUUCAAAUAACUUCUAUUUAUGUUUUCUUAGACCUUCCAUUACACACUUAUCCUUGCACGUAAUUUGAAGCCAGUUUACUAGUACAGUAAAAUAAGAUGUGACCAAAGUGACAACUGAUUAAGAGCAAGAAACCGCUGAAACCCAGUUUCU